GCUUUUUAAAAAUUGCUAAUAAUUCUACUAUCCAUAUAUUUGGGUAUUUUCUUCAAGAUUAUUUUUAAUACAUACAUGUGAUAAUACUCUACAUUCUGUUUUACAUCUUUUUUUUUUUUUAAGAUAGAUUCUCAUUGUGUCACCAGGGUGGAGGGCAGUGGUGCAAUCUCCGCUCACUGCAAUCUCUGCCUGCCAAGUUCAAGCGAUUCUCCUGCCUCAGCCUCCUGAGUAGCUGAGAUUACAGGCACGUGCCACCAUGCCCAGAUGAGCAAAUAGGUGAAUGGAUAUGAAUGAAUGAAAGAAACUGAACUAUAGAUGUGCUAUGAUAUUUGACACCACAAGAAUGAAUAAAUUCUACAAGAAAAUGUGAAAAGAGAAAAGUGCAUAAAUAAGAAUUGAAUCUUAUGAUUUUUCAUCCGUCUAUGUAAAGAUGGGGUUUCCUGAUGUUGUUCAUACUGGUCUUGAACUCCUGGCAUCAAGUGAUCCACCUGCCUCGGCCUCUCAAAGUGCUGGAAUUAUGGUCGUGAGCCACCAUGCCUAGGCUCAUCUUCAUUUUACAGGUAAAACUGAGUAUAAUGAGAAGCACUCCAAGUGAGAAGAUAAGCGGUACAAAACCCAAUUCCCCAGGGAACACCAGCAUUCAAGGACACAGAGAGGAAAUGGAACAUGAGGCAGAUCCUUACUUCCCAAGGAGAAAGGGAAGACAAGCUGAGAGGCAUCAGAAAGUCCAAAGGAGGUGAGCAUUUCAGGGAGGAGUGAGCAAGUGUCAUAUGCAGUUGCAAGAUUAAGCAAAUACAAACAGUAAAGGAUUUUUAAAGUAGCAGGUAGGUAUACAGCAAAAUACAACUUCUCACAUUCUAUUUUCUCAGAUGAGGAAUUGUUGUGUUUUAAAAUAAAAAAUUAUGAUUACUACUAAGUUACUGUAAGUUCCAUUUCUCCAAACCAGUAAAAGGCAAGAGAGCAAAUAUGUGUUGG
ensembl:lncRNA